CUAACGUUAGAGACUGAGUCUGGUCUUGAGGACACACAAGCCACUCCACAGCGGAUUACUGCAAGAUUAAUAAAGUAGACCUGCAGGACCCGAGCAGAGCUACGAUGCUCUCCCAGGUAACGUUAGCUCACAUCAGGCAGCAGGCAGUCCAACCGGGAGGACAUGGUAGCAACAGAGGGAGAGG